rnacentral:rRNA from 1 species
UGUAUUCAUCCUGAAUGCCCAAUUUCUUCUAAUUUUGGAAAUUAAGCAAGAUGUGGCCUGGUUAGUACUGGGCAUACUGGGAGCUGUAGGCUUAAAAGAGAA